CAGAGUAUUGCCCUUCGGGGUAGAUCUCCCACCCUUUGUUUAUUUAAACCUGUUGCUUUGGCGGGCCGUUCGGCCUCGUGCCGCCCACCGGCUUCGGCUGGUGUGUGCCCGUCGGAAGACACCUUAAACUCUGAAUAUAAUGUUGUCUGAGUACCAUAUAAUCGUUA
rnacentral:misc_RNA from 2 species